CUCCUUAGGGAACACUAGAAGGCUUUCUUGCAAGGAAGGGCCAGCAUGUUGAGUGUACCACUGGUGGACAGUGAUGGGAGGACAUGCAUAGGCUGCACAGCCUGGCCAGGGCACCUCUGUGGGCUUCUGCUGCCAUCUGCUGACUAUUUGCUACAUUAUGGCUUGAGGGUAACCAACAGGUCUCAACCCAAGGGUGAGUCAGGGGGUGUCUACCCCCAGGCAUGUAAAGACAUCCCCCAGAUGAAAGGGCAGAUGAGAAUAAUUUGUUCUGGUGACAAUGAAGAUAGCAGAAGCAAGUGCUGGAGAGCAACCAGAGCUUAUUCAGAAGUUGAAGACGCCAAUGUCAUCCAUCCAGUGCAUCCUGAGCCAUCACCAGCCAUCUUGAUUUUGUCUCACCACUAGAUGGAUGGAUAAACGGAUGAAUGGAUGGAUGGAUGAAUGGAUGGAUGGAUGACUCUGGAAGGGAAUGAGGCUGAUGUCUUUGUGCAAAACUGCCUCACAAAUCCAAUUUCUGGCUAGUCAAAAGACAUCACCAGUGACAUCAUUGUGGCCCUCUGAGUACAAAGAACACUCACCAAUAUUAUAGUUGAUUUGCUGAGUUGCUGUUGGUCACUGCUGCCUCCACUGGGUUCUUAACUGGAUUCAACUUCUUCCUAUAGAGAAAGGGUGAUUACCAGUGGCUAUUGGUAGUCAUUUUGUGAUGUAAACCCCAGCCCCCUAUACCUAGUCAGCCUUUAAAAUUUUAGUCUCUUCUGAUCUAUUUUCCUAUUGUUACUCAGCAUUUCUCAGUUUCAACUCUUAUCUGAGUUAAGGUCCAUUUUUAAAAAACUCUUAUUAUAAACUUAAAUCAUUCUAGAGGUUCUGCUUACCAAAAUUUCAAAGAAGAUAUGAGGCUAACCCUAAAGUCUCAAAAUCUGGAUCAUCUACACUCCCAUAUUUACUUCAGAUUACUCCACUUCCUCCCUCCUCCUCCUCAGACUGCCAAUUCUCAGUUUUUACAGACUCCUCCUCCUCCAUAGCUGCCACUGCCAUAAUCAAAGUUUCAGUUGACAUGAUUAGCCAUUAUGGUAAUUACAGAUGGCCCCAAACCUAGACCUGUCCCCUUUCCGACCCAUGCCUGAGGCUGUGAUAGCUAUGUGGCUCACAAUCUUGCCUUCCUCCUUGCCACAAUCCUUUAGAUUCCCUAAGUAGUACUUUCCUCCUUGACACUUCACCACCCCCAGGUUUUAUCUAUUUAUCCUUGCAGGUGAUUCAAGCCAUCUGUGAGCCCCCAAUCACCUGAGGGAGAAAAUGCUUCCUUUGGGCAUCUGGACAGAGGGAUGGGGCAUGCAGAAAUGUCCUCAGGUGCUAGGAAAAGGAGGAACAGAGCAGCUCCCCAGUACAGACACUGCAUGCAUGCAACAGCUUUGCCAACACAGCCAUAGGAGAACAGGCUGAGGGAACUAGAAAUGCUUAGUUUUGAGGACUGAGACUUAAGAGCGUUAUCUUCAAAUAUUUGAAGGACUGGCACAUGGAAAAAGAAUUUAAAAUUGUUGUUGAAAGAACAACAGUUCACAUUUUUGGUUCAGGACAGGUUAAGUUUAAUUCAGGCACACUUAGGAAUAGAAAAUUUUAGAAUUUAGAAUUCAGAAUCCUGAGCAUACAGUAGACAUUUAUAUUUUAUAUAUCUGUUUUUGACCCUGUUUCAUUUUUUUUUUUAAGUAGAGCAAUUUGUUUUACACUAUAGUUUGUUCUCAAAAGCAGCAUAACUCACAACUGAUCUUACAAGUAGAGUAUUUUCCUUUGGCAUAGGUUGAGGUGAGCUAAAAUUCCAAGAAAUGCGCAUGACUAGUUUUAUGUGUACAGAAGCUAGUUCCAAAAGAGAAUCAUUCAUGUGAAAAAAAAAAAGAUAAAUAUAAGGUCUUUCUAUCUGGUCCUCCACAUAAUCCUCUUUUGAAGAUUGAACAUCUUCAUCCAGUGAAAGUCAUUUUGAAAAUCUCUGUAAAUAGAGUCAGCAGCUGGGAUAGUAAUUAGGAGGAAUAGUUGGAUGAUGUUGCCCAAGAUGGCAGAGAAACUUGGUCAGCCAUAUACAGAACUGUAGGACAAGAAAAAGUUUAAAUAAUAAACAGAGAGAUUAGUACUUGAAUGAGUUUGUG
ensembl:lncRNA